UUGUAUUCCGCAAUAGGGAUGGGAGUGGCAUCCUUUUGCUUUUUUGGCUAAGGAAAUGGGUUGGGCAAAAGGAAAAGAUAUAACGGACAGCCCGACCCGAG
rnacentral:sRNA from 1 species